rnacentral:lncRNA from 1 species
ACAACCGUUCAUUUUGUGUUAUAGUUCAAAAUACAUACUGCAUAAAAUACAUGCUUUUCAUGAAAAUAUUAUGCAUCUUAAUCUAAUUCAUCGUUAUGAUGCUGGCAACCAAAAAAGAUUAUUGGUAAGUCCUCAAAAAGAGUGAUACGUUCAGAUGGGCUGGGUUUUUAAAUCGCGCCCCCAUAAAACCGACCCCAAACGAACGAGCCCGG